rnacentral:sRNA from 1 species
AGCAGGAGGACCGUGCGAGGAGGCGCCAGGGAGCAGAGAGGUCCGAGCAUGCGGAGGAGAAAUAAAAAAGGCGUAGCCCUUUGAGUAGAAAAAUACAUCGCCCCAAGCAGCUUAAUCUUCUCAAACUCUCGAGCUCAGCAAUCCCAACGGCUGAAUCUAUUGCUCCAAGGACAACUGUAGACAAACGUCCGAGGAGUAAAGUCGCAUCAGGUGCUUUUUUUAGCCUCUACGAGGACAGGGACACCGCUAGAACUGCAUUCAGUUUGAUGAUGCGGAAACUGAAACGAUUCAAUAAAAGCGUUAAGAAGGGAAGAAAUGGGUACAUAUCCCACUUUCUAGAAUCCCCAUCACACCAACAUGUCAGCAUUUUGAGAGGCAGAGUGUAUAAAAACGGCAAUUAUCAGCUUCUGCACGGAUGAAAGAACGCGUUUUCGAGCGGUCGGCGUCACUGUCCUCGUAGAGAUUGGAAAACAUCUUGAGCUACUUUAGUUUCGUGUCCUCAGUCGUUUGUCUACAGUUGUCCUUGGAGCAAUAGAUUCAGCCGUUGGGAUUGCUGAGCUCGAGAGUUUGAGAAGAUUAAGCUGCUUGGGGCGAUGUAUUUUUCUACUCAUAAGGGCUACGCCUUUUAUAUCUUUUCGAGCUUUAUGAGCUCAAUAACCUUUCUCAUACUUUCCCUGCAUCCUCUGCUCGGACCUCUCUCUUCCUUAACGCUUCUCUGCACUGCACCUCUUCUUCUUCCUUCCUCUUUCUUCCCUCUCUCUCUCGUUCUUCGGCAUCCCAUAACUACUUUUCUGUCUUUCUCUCGUCCUCCUUUCUAUUUUACCUCUUUCCUAUGUAUUCUUACUUUUCGCUGUGGUGGAGAGUUUACGUAGUGUAAGGGCAGGAAGAGAGCCGGAAAUGAGGAGUAAGAAUAGUUUGGCAGACAGGAGCGAGGAAGGCGGCGAGAAAAAUACAGGGAAAUGGAGAGACUAGCGAGGGUAACAAGGAAUCGUACUGGGGCACUAGUCGGAUGCAAAAGCUCGCUGAUGG